rnacentral:rRNA from 1 species
CAGUAGCCACGGUAAUACAGAGGGUGCAAGCGUUAAUCGGAGUUACUGGGCGUAAAGGGCGCGUAGGCGGUUAUAUAAGUGAGAUGUGAAAUCCCUGGGCUUAACCUAGGAACUGCAUCUUAUACUGUAUGGCUAGAGUAUUGUAGAGGGUAGUGGAAUUUCCGGUGUAGCGGUGAAAUGCGUAGAGAUCGGAAGGAACACCAGCGGCGAAGGCGGCUACCUGGACAAAUACUGACGCUGAGGCGCGAAAGCGUGGGGAGCAAACAGGAUUAGAUACCCCCGUAGUCCCUGUCUCUUAUAC